UGGAUGGUUUAGAUGGAUGACUGAUGCAGUUAAAAUAGAAGAUAACAUCAAACUGUCAUGGUCUGGAGUCUAGUGACUCCGUGGUUAUGUUUGUGUUUAUUAAUAUUCACAAUUUGAUCUUGUUUCCUGGUUAUUUGUUAACUAUUUCCAGUGUUUAGGUGUUCCCUCUGCCUCCUGUGUUUCUUGUGUUGUGUCUAGUGUCCCUGGUUUGAUGUUUGUGCUUAUUCUGCUUUUACUGUGUCUCCUUCCCAUUUCCUCAUUUUCCCUUCGUGUGUAUUUAUUAUGUGUGUUUACCUCUGUUCUUCGUCUGAUCAUCUGUGUUUCCUUCAUGUUUCAUGUCUCAGGCUCCAUGUUCUUGCUUCAGGUUUUAGUUAUGUUUCUUUGUUCUAUAUGUUCUUUAGUUUAGCUGUUUCCAGUUUAGCUUUUCUUUAGUGUUGUCAGUUCCCCGUUUACUUUGUAGUGUUGUGUCCAGCCAAUAAUAAAGGCUCGCUUUCUUUAACACACGCCUUCACACCAUUUUGUGUGUGCUUAGGUCCUCAUUCUCAUCAUGAGGUCAUCUGAGAAAAAUAGAACAAACACAUGACACAAGUAAUAUUUAGACAACCUGUUUAUAACAACUGAUCAGAAAACUGCAUGCCUGUAUUAGAAACAUGUUGGCCCGGUUUAGCAGGGAAGGCGAGCAGGAAAUAAGUCAGAGUGCCUGUUAGUGGUGUGAUCACUGUGUGUUUCCUGAUGUGCAGCAAUACUGUUAAACCAGAUGGGCAUAACUACUCAAGCAGCUUUUCUUGCUCACUGAAAACUGCAGAAGCAAAGCUCAAGAAACAUGGCUGACCCAACAAAUAUGACUUCAUCUUUCAACCAGACCUGUGAUCCAGUUGUCCCAUCACUCAACACUUUCUUUGUACUGGUCUACAGUCUGGUGUUUCUGGUAGGUUUACUCCUCAAUGGCUUCAUCCUAAAGUUUUACAUUGGUCAAGCUCAGCAGCAGGCAUCAAGCAGUUUGAUGGUCUACCUGAAGAACCUGACAGCUGCUGACUUCCUGCUCUGCCUC